UACAGAGGGGGCAAGCGUUGUUCGGAAUUACUGGGCGUAAAGGGCGCGUAGGCGGCCUGUUAAGUCGAACGUGAAAUCCCCGGGGCUCAACCCCGGGAACUGCGUCCGAUACUGGCAGGCUUGAAUCCGGGAGAGGGAUGCGGAAUUCCAGGUGUAGCGGUGAAAUGCGUAGAUAUCUGGAGGAACACCGGUGGCGAAGGCGGCGAUCCUGGACCGGUAUUGACGCUGAGGCGCGAAAGCCAGGGGAGCAAACGGG
rnacentral:rRNA from 1 species